rnacentral:tRNA from 1 species
GCCCUGGUGGCUCAGUGGUUAAAGCGCUCAGCUGCUAACUGAAAGUUUGGCAGCUCGAACCUACCAGUGCU